ACGAACGCUGGCGGCGUGCUUAACACAUGCAAGUCGAACGGUGAAGGGAUCAGCUUGCUGGUUCUGGAUGAGUGGCGAACGGGUGAGUAACACGUGAGUAACCUACCCCCUUCUUCUGGAUAACCGCAUGAAAGUGUGGCUAAUACGGGAUAUUCUGCGCCUGCUGCAUGGUGGGUGUGGGAAAGAUAUUGUUUCGGUGGGGGAUGGGCUCGCGGCCUAUCAGCUUGUUGGUGGGGUGAUGGCCUACCAAGGCGGUGACGGGUAGCCGGCCUGAGAGGGUGGACGGUCACACUGGGACUGAGACACGGCCCAGACUCCUACGGGAGGCAGCAGUGGGGAAUAUUGCACAAUGGGCGCAAGCCUGAUGCAGCGACGCCGCGUGAGGGAUGGAGGCCUUCGGGUUGUGAACCUCUUUCGCCAGUGAAGCAGGCCUGUCCCUUGUGGGUGGGUUGACGGUAGCUGGAUAAGAAGCGCCGGCUAACUACGUG
rnacentral:rRNA from 1 species